AAAUUGAAGAGUUUGAUCAUGGCUCAGAUUGAACGCUGGCGGCAGGCCUAACACAUGCAAGUCGAACGGUAACAGGAAACAGCUUGCUGUUUCGCUGACGAGUGGCGGACGGGUGAGUAAUGUCUGGGAAACUGCCUGAUGGAGGGGGAUAACUACUGGAAACGGUAGCUAAUACCGCAUAACGUCGCAAGACCAAAGAGGGGGACCUUCAGGCCUCUUGCCAUCGGAUGUGCCCAGAUGGGAUUAGCUAGUAGGUGGGGUAACGGCUCACCUAGGCGACGAUCCCUAGCUGGUCUGAGAGGAUGACCAGCCACACUGGAACUGAGACACGGUCCAGACUCCUACGGGAGGCAGCAGUGGGGAAUAUUGCACAAUGGGCGCAAGCCUGAUGCAGCCAUGCCGCGUGUAUGAAGAAGGCCUUCGGGUUGUAAAGUACUUUCAGCGGGGAGGAAGGGAGUAAAGUUAAUACCUUU
rnacentral:rRNA from 1 species